GACGAACGCUGGCGGCGUGCUUAACGCAUGCAAGUCGAACGGAAAGGCCCUGCUUUUGUGGGGUGCUCGAGUGGCGAACGGGUGAGUAACACGUGAGUAACCUGCCCUUGACUUUGGGAUAACUUCAGGAAACUGGGGCUAAUACCGGAUAGGAGCUCCUGCUGCAUGGUGGGGGUUGGAAAGUUUCGGCGGUUGGGGAUGGACUCGCGGCUUAUCAGCUUGUUGGUGGGGUAGUGGCUUACCAAGGCUUUGACGGGUAGCCGGCCUGAGAGGGUGACCGGCCACAUUGGGACUGAGAUACGGCCCAGACUCCUACGGGAGGCAGCAGUGGGGAAUAUUGCACAAUGGGCGGAAGCCUGAUGCAGCAACGCCGCGUGCGGGAUGACGGCCUUCGGGUUGUAAACCGCUUUCGCCUGUGACGAAGCGUGAGUGACGGCAAUGGGUAAAGAAGCACCGGCUAACUACGUG
rnacentral:rRNA from 1 species